rnacentral:lncRNA from 1 species
GUGCCAUUAAAUUUGGUUGAGUCGAUUUAUAUUUUGAAUUCCAUUCGACGUGUUUGUCUUUACCUUAAUGAAGCAUAGAUAUUCAGUACUUCACGUCAUCACUCGCUCCCUUAACCAUAUCUUCCAUUGUUACAUUCCUCUAUUUUAAUAUUAGAUCAUUCUGAAUUUUCCAAAUAUGACAUAUUACCCAAACCGUUAGAUAAUGGCUUUCCAUAUGGGCAUUGGUGUUGUUGUGGAAGGAAAAAACGAUUUUAUAUUGCCAAUGGUGAUUGUUGGGUAACAAAUAAUAUGUGUGGGGUGGAUUGGAGAGAUCCGCCAUAUUACUUCUGUGUAGGGACAGAAAAAAAAACUAACGGUCCCUUGUUUCCUCUCUUGUGCAACAUAAAUGUUAAUUCGACGGCGUCUUAGAUUUGCUUUCACUGUAAUGGCAUGCAAUGAUACCCACCAUAAAAAGUGUUGAAGUUUGUGUGCAAUGUCGGAGCUCCAAAUGGCGCACUAAAUCCGGAUAUGAUGAUCAUAAAAGUUGUGGAGGAAGAACAAAAAAACAUAGUGAUUUAACGCAAAGUGGUACUCCGAUUCAGGGCCAAGUGUCUAGUUUUUUUUAAUUGAGAGGUGUCUAGUUUUUUUUCUAAUUGAGAGCUGUCUAGGAAGAACAAAAACAUAGAGUAUUAUGGUUUUAUCGUUAUUUUUUUUUUGUGCGACGAAUUAUGGUUUUUUAUUUUUUUUUUUUUGCGACGAAUUAUGGUUGUAUCGCUAGUAACGCAAAUGACCGGACCCACUAAAUCCGUUAGUCUCAUUCUCAUUCUCAUUCAGACUUCUUUUUUUUUUGCUUAAUGGCCAUCUUUAUUUUGUUUUAUCUUUACAAUUUCACUUAGUUUUCUUAGUUCUAUUUCAUGGUUUUUCCUUAGAUUUAGUUUGAUUUUAAUAUAAACAUAUAGAAUUAAAAAAUAUUUUUUAAUUAUUAGAUUGUUAAAUAACUAUUAUUUAGUCAUUUUUUUAUCUGUUUCUUUAGUUUAUUGGUUUCUCUUAUUUUGGUGAUAAGUUUUUAAAUUGAAAGGGCUAUGAUUAAAUAACACAAGCGUCCCGUUUGAGACUUUGAGUUACACGAAAGAAGUAUAUAUUAAACAUGAUUUUAGUUUCUCACAUGCACACAUAUGGCAUUACUUGUGACCAAUAUUAACUAAUUAUAUAUAAACGAUGAUUGAUUUCAAAUUUGCAAUUAUUAAUUUCUGCAAUAUAAACAAUAAUUCUCUUAAAUUAAAUAAGAAAAUAAUUAAAAAAGGAUUAUUACCAUUUAUAGGUUUUUUUAUAAACCCUGCCGAUUGAUCCGGUCAGCCCAGAGAGGAACGCAUUUAGUAAUUUAGAGUGGACUAACUCAAAAGCGUACUACACUGUCUGACUCGAAUUUGGUAUACUUUUCAAUUAAUGUUAAAAGGUUGAUCGAUCGUCUGUUACGGUCUACCGUGUUAACUACUUGUACCGAAACUCAAGCCCAUACAGAAUAAUUUACUAACAUUUAUGGUUUUAUGUGGAGUUUUGAUUAUAGGGUAUUUUAGUGCCAACAUAAGUCAAGAGGUUACAUAUUUCUCCAUUUUCUUUGUAGUCGAAUCAUUUAAUUCUUCUAACAUAGUUU